rnacentral:rRNA from 1 species
GACGAACGCUGGCGGCGUGCCUAAUACAUGCAAGUCGAACGCGGACGGGACGGGUGAGUUACACGUGGGUAACCUCCCAUCAGAGGGGAUAACACUUGGAAACAGGUGCUCAACCGAUAAUGAUGGAUGGACCCGCGGUGCGUGGGCUAGUUGGUGAGGUAACGGCUCACCAAGGCCACGAUGCCUAGCCGACCUGAGAGGGGGAUGGGCCAAACUGGGACUGAGACACGGUCCAGACUCCUACGGGAGUGAGAAGUGGGGAAUAUUCGGCAAUGGACGAAAGUCUGACCGAGCAACGCCGCGUGAGUGAAGAAGGGUUUCGGAUAGUAAAACUCUGUUGUUAGAGAAGCGGUAUCUAACCAGAAAGCCACGGCUAACUACGUGCCAGCAGCGGCGGUAAUAC